GCGCCCGUAGCUCAGCGGAUAGAGCACCCGCCUCCUAAGCGGGGGGCCGCCAGUUCAAUUCUGGCCGGGCGCGCCA
rnacentral:tRNA from 1 species